ACGGAAGGCAGCAGUGGGGAAUAUUGCACAAUGGGCGCAAGCCUGGUGCAGCGAUGCCGCGUGAGGGAAGAAGGUUUUCGGAUUGUAAACCUCUGUCAACAGGGACGAAAUAGACGGUACCUGUGAAGGAAGCUCCGGCUAACUACGUGCCAGCAGCCGCGGUAAUACGUAGGGAGCAAGCGUUAUCCGGAAUUACUGGGUGUAAAGGGAGUGUAGGCGGGACUGUAAGUCAGAUGUGAAAUAUACCGGCUCAACUGGUAGACUGCAUUUGAAACUGCGGCUCUUGAGUGGAGUAGAGGUAAGCGGAAUUCCUAGUGUAGCGGUGAAAUGCGUAGAUAUUAGGAGGAACAUCAGUGGCGAAGGCGGCUUACUGGGCUUUAACUGACGCUGAGGCUCGAAAGCGUGGGGAGCAAACAGGAUUAGAUACCCUGGUA
rnacentral:rRNA from 1 species